UACGAAGGGGGCUAGCGUUGCUCGGAAUCACUGGGCGUAAAGGGUGCGUAGGCGGGUCUUUAAGUCAGGGGUGAAAUCCUGGAGCUCAACUCCAGAACUGCCUUUGAUACUGAGGAUCUUGAGUUCGGGAGAGGUGAGUGGAACUGCGAGUGUAGAGGUGAAAUUCGUAGAUAUUGGGAAGAACACCGGUGGCGAAGGCGGCUAUCUGGACCGACAUUGACGCUGAUGCGCGAAAGCGUGGGGAGCAAACAGG
rnacentral:rRNA from 1 species